CAGGUUAAACUGGUGUUUCCCUACCAUGUUGUUUUCAAUACAGACAGUCCACGUCCACUGACUUUCCCAAUAUAUUCUAUGGUAUAGCUCAGUUCCACUCCAAUGAUAUGUUAGCAUACUUCCAUAGAAUAAUAUGGUUCCCCUAAUAUUAUAGUACAAGUACAUAUUGUAAAGAUUUGCUGAAGUUGGAGUCCAGAAGACCUCAGUUCCUAGUCUUACCUCAGACACUUAGCAACUAAGUGCCUAAGUCCCUUUAACCUCUUUCAGUUUCCACUUCCUCACUUGUAAAAUGGGUAUACUUCUGCACCCAUCUAACAGGGCUAUUGUGAGGACAAAAUGAAAUAUUCUCUAUAAAGCAUUUGGAAAACCUUAAAGCUCUAUAUAAAUGCAUAUUUUGUUUCUCUUGUCUCUCUUCUCCUUCCUUCCUUCCUUCCUUCCUUCCUUCCUUCCUUCCUUCCUUCCUUCCUUCCUUCCUUCCUUCCUUCCUUCCUUCCUUCCUUCCUUCCUUCCUUCCUUCCUUCCUUCCUUCCUUCCUUCCUUCCUUCCUUCCUUCCUUCCUUCCUUCCUUCCUUUCUUCAUUCCUUUGUUCCUUCCUACCUUCCUUCCUUCCUUUCUCCCCCACCCCUCUCCAUUUAUGUUAGUCUUUGAGAAUUAUGAUGAAUGCAGUGACCAGCUUUGACUUCAGACAAGUGAUGCCUCUUGCUGGAAGGUAGACAAUUUAUAGAUAUGAGAUGUGGCAUAUAAUGUCAGGCAUGGUUAAUUUAUUGUCUUGUUUUACUUAACUCUGUUACAAUGAACAGUUCUAUGGCUUAGGGCAUGGGAGAGGGGAGUCCUUGGGAAGUGGCAGUGACAUACAAAAAAGAACAUCUCUAAAUUAUUUAUAUUAUUAAAAAAAGACUAAUAGCCUUAAAAAUGUUAUAUUUUCUCCCCUAGAAGGAAAUUUCUAUGUACUAUUACAUAGAGAAGUAAGAAAGGUUAGAAAAGAUAGAGGUUGCUUUACCUUCUUUAAAAGUGAUAUAAUUCACAUUUUUCAGUACAAAUACAUAUACACAUUUGUAUACCCUAGUCAAAUGUAUACAAAAUUUGAGCUUAUUAAAAAUAACUUUCAAAAAUAUCAUUGACUUGUUUUUUAGGAGAGAACUGUGAUCAUAUGAUCUAUGAUGCCUUGCUGUUCUUCUAGAUGACUUAAUAGUUAGCUAUUUCUAUUUUGUAAUUGUAGUGUAUACUAUUCUUUUUAGAGAAUAGUAUGUUAGCAGUUAGUUUCUCCAAACAUGGUUAUUAUUUUUUGCCUUUAAAUACUCGGUGUGUGCAGAAUAAUGCAUCGGGCAAUCUUCUCUUUAAGCCACACAUAGUCUUAAAUACCUCUGUGUGCAACUUCUAUUUGUCCAUGCACAAUUGAAACUAAACCUGCUUUGAUCGUUUACACAUAACCGUUUGUCUGCUGAGAUUACAGGUUGCAAUAAUGAGGCUCACUGAAAGCCUUCUAUUGCAAGCCCUAAACAGUAAGAGUCGGGGUUUUAGAACACUCAUUGUUCCAGUGCAACCAAUCAGAUUAAUGUAGGAGACCUUCCAUUUUAGCAACUGGGAACUGCUGUUAGCUCCUUAACUCUAUCUUUGCAGGCAACCCUGCCAACUUGAUUAUGGUAAACCUUUAGUCAUCAUUUGCAAGAGAUAUAAAAGCAAGUCCAUCGUGACUUCAGGUUCAAAAACUUUGACUCCAGGAAAGAACGUUUGGUUGUUGCUAUGAAAACCAAGGGAAACCUCUACUGGGACUGGCUAUGUGCAGAGAUGGUGGUAGGGUUAUAUGGUUUCACCAGUGGCAUUAAAAUCCUCUUGACUCCAGCUCUAGUUUCUCAGGCACAUAGUCUAGGGGGCCUACCUACGAAUAGUUGAGUGUGAGUGUAUGUUCAGAGACUCUCCUCAUCAUUCCUGGUUCAUAAUGAUAUAUUUUUUAGUUUACAACAAAAUAGAGAAACAUUGUUAUUGGAUACUGAAAGUUACAUAGAAGUCCCAAAGAUCAAAAGAUACAGAUUCUUAUAUUCCUUUUGCUCUUAAUACUGCACACAGUCACAGAAAAAGGCAGAAGACAUUAUCUACUCUAACAUUUUCAUAUUACAAAAGGGAAAACGAGAAGUGCAGAGAGGUUAAAUAACUUGCCUGAGAUCACAAAGCAAAUUAUCAGAAAAACUGGACAAGUCCUGAAGUUUUGCUCCCCUCCCACCCCCCAGUUUAGUUCUCAUUCUGUGCUUUUUAGGAUUCCAUUUUAUUAUUUGCGUUUUGCCUCAUUCCAUGAAUAAAGUAUUAGGGGGGAAAAAAGCCCUUGUAUUU
rnacentral:lncRNA from 1 species